UAAAGGUGUCUACUGCCAAAACUAAUGA
rnacentral:piRNA from 1 species